GGGCCCGGCAGAGUCUUCGCCGCCCGCAGCCCGAGCCGCACCCGCCGCGGACGGAGCCCAUGCGCGGGGCGAGUCGCGCGUCCCCGCCCCCGCCCCGCCCCGCCCCGGCCCCGGCCCCGGCCCCGGGGGCAGUCGCGCCAGUGAGCGGUGGGGCAGGAGACCCUGCAGCACCCCGGGCUGCAGGCCCUGAGGAGCGAUGACAGAAUAUAAGCUCGUGGUGGUGGGCGCCGGUGGCGUGGGAAAGAGUGCCCUGACCAUCCAGCUGAUCCAGAACCACUUCGUGGAUGAAUAUGACCCCACGAUAGAGGACUCCUACCGGAAGCAGGUGGUCAUUGAUGGGGAGACAUGCCUGCUGGACAUCCUGGACACGGCCGGCCAGGAGGAGUACAGCGCCAUGCGGGACCAGUACAUGCGCACUGGGGAGGGCUUCCUGUGUGUCUUCGCCAUCAACAACACCAAGUCCUUCGAGGACAUCCACCAGUACAGGGAGCAGAUCAAGCGGGUGAAGGACUCAGACGACGUGCCCAUGGUGCUGGUGGGGAACAAGUGUGACCUGGCUGCACGCACCGUGGAGUCUCGGCAGGCUCAGGACCUCGCCCGAAGCUAUGGCAUCCCCUACAUCGAGACCUCGGCCAAAACGCGGCAGGGCAGCCGCUCUGGCUCUGGCUCCAGCUCCGGGACCCUCUGGGACCCCCCGGGACCCAUGUGACCCAGCGGCCCCUUGCGCUGGAGUGGAGGAUGCUUUUUACACGCUGGUGCGUGAGAUUCGGCAGCACAAGCUGCGGAAGCUGAACCCUCCCGACGAGAGUGGCCCCGGCUGCAUGAGCUGCAAGUGUGUGCUCUCCUGACACAGGCUUCAGGACAUGGAGGUGCCGGAUGCAGGGAGGAGGUGCAGACGGAAGGAGGAGGAGGAAGGAAGGAAGGAAGGAAGGAAGGGCUGCUGGAGCCCAGCCACCCAGGGACCGUGGGCCGAGGUGACCGCAGACCCUCCAAGGGACGCUUUGCGCAGACUGUCUUGAGCAUCCCUAAUGCCAUGGGAACCGCAGCCCUUAGCUCCCCUCCCAGGCCUCUGUGGGCCCUUGUUGGGUGCAGAUGGGAACACAGUAAAUUAUUGGAUGGUCUUGA